AGCGAACGCUGGCGGCAGGCUUAACACAUGCAAGUCGAGCGGGCAUCCUUGUGGUGUCAGCGGCAGACGGGUGAGUAACGCGUGGGAACGUGCCCUUCGGUUCGGAAUAAAUCAGGGAAACUUGAGCUAAUACCGGAUACGUGCGAGAGCAGAAAGGUUUAUCUGCCGAAGGAUCGGCCCGCGUCUGAUUAGCUAGUUGGUGAGGUUAUGGCUCACCAAGGCGACGAUCAGUAGCUGGUCUGAGAGGAUGAUCAGCCACACUGGGACUGAGACACGGCCCAGACUCCUACGGGAGGCAGCAGUGGGGAAUAUUGGACAAUGGGGGCAACCCUGAUCCAGCCAUGCCGCGUGAGUGAUGACGGCCUUAGGGUUGUAAAGCUCUUUUCUCCGGGACGAUAAUGACGGUACCGGAGGAAUAAGCCCCGGCUAACUUCGUG
rnacentral:rRNA from 1 species